rnacentral:rRNA from 1 species
GUGUCAGCAGCCGCGGUAAUACGAAGGACCCGAGCGUUAUCCGGAUUUAUUGGGUUUAAAGGGUGCGUAGGCGUCCCUAUAAGUUACGGUUGAAAUCUCCUCGCUCAACGAGGAAACUGGCCGUAAAACUGUAGGGAUUGAGUACACUUGAAGCGGGCGGAAUGUGUCAUGUAGCGGUGAAAUGCUUAGAUAUGACACAGAACACCGAUUGCGAAGGCAGCUCGCUAAAUUGUAACUGACGCUGAGGCACGAAAGCGUGGGGAUCAAACAGGAUUAGAUACCCUUGUAGUCC